UGGCAGCAGUCACAAGCUUGUCACCAGACCCGACUCUCCUGACGAACCCGUGGAACACCUGUAACCUUCAAUAACCUGUUUUUCUCUCCAUUAUAAUGAGAAGGAGCCUAUUGAUUGAUUUCAAAGAUAAAGAAGGAAUUAAAGCGGUGACAUUAUUCUCCUGGUCCGUUUCGACUUUCACUGCACAGUGAAAAGUCCUGAAUGGUUUAGUUAGCUCUGCACAGAAGAAGAGAACUGACCCAGAGGAAACAGUUCCAACUUUUUCGACAACCCAGAGGAUGAAUGUAGAAGAAGUUGGUCUGGGAAUGAGUGAAGAACAACUGGAAGAAAAAGAAGAAAGGCUGAUCUGGCGCACGGAGAGAAAGGGUGAUGGCUUCGCAGUUCCCUGCUUUGAGAAGAAAGUCAGCUCCGUGAAGGCAGCCACAAAGCAGCCCUUUCAUUUCUUUAGCUCUCCAUGAGUACGGAUAACGGAGCACAUUAAUCAGAAUCAGCAAACAUACUUUAAAGUAACCAAUUUUCUCUGAGAGCUGACCUAACAUAAACAUCUCAGCUAUCAUCGAGAGGUUCCGGAGCUGUUAUCGCCAGCAGCUAGUUUCAAUUUAACUAAAUUAUUAAGAUACAUUACGCUUAUGCCGAUGUGCUCGGCUCUGCUGCAGAGGCUGAGGACAACCCCGUCCAAGCCUUCCCUUGAACUCUGUUAUCCUUAAACUGUCUCCCUCAGGGCUCCUCAACUCUCACAACCUCUCAUUCAGAGAGUGCAGUCACCAAAAGAUCACUCAUCCCUUGGUGGGGUGGGGGGGGGGCAAUGGUGGAUAACUAUUCUAAUGUUUUGGGAGGAGAGCCCCUCUUGAAAAAAUCUUUACCAAUUUUCAAUUUUCUUCAGCAAUUAAAGUGCAUUCCUCAA